GGGGGCGACCGGUUUCGACUGGUAUGCUGCAAGUCUGGGAGCAGGCCGAGCGAUGGGCGUAAGCCAUCACCAAAAGAAUUGACAACAACUACGCACUGGCGGCUUAGUUAAGCUGCCGCCCAACCGGUCGGGAGCGCUCGCAGAACCGGAAGGGCUAUCAACGCGAGCAUCGUAUAGGGUCCGUAUCGGAUGGGAAGUUUCGGUGUUUUGUCCGUCACACCGCACUUCUCCCGUAGUUAAAGAGACGUACUAAGCCUGUAGUCGCCCAUUCAUACACAGUAUGUCAGGACCGGGGUUCAACUCCCCGCGCCUCCACCA
rnacentral:tmRNA from 2 species